UACGAAGGGGGGCUAGCGUUGCUCGGAAUUACUGGGCGUAAAGCGCACGUAGGCGGGUUUGUAAGUAGGGGGUGAAAUCCCAGGGCUCAACCCUGGAACUGCCUUCUAAACUGCAAGCCUGGAGGUCAGGAGAGGCGAGUGGAAUACCGAGUGUAGAGGUGAAAUUCGUAGAUAUUCGGUGGAACACCAGUGGCGAAGGCGACUCGCUGGACUGAUACUGACGCUGAGGUGCGAAAGCGUGGGGAGCAAACAGG
rnacentral:rRNA from 1 species